GGGGUAAAGCUGCAGGUCAAAUGCAAAUAACAUGAUAUUGCUGUUUAAAUCUGUCAACUGCCUUCAGAAAAACAGCCCAUUUCCCCACUUCAUGUUGUCCAUUCUUAUCUCUGAUCUAAAUAAGGAGAACAACCCAAACAGCUUACAGAAUUGGACUAAAGUCUCAAAAAUGGGAACAUUUGAUAUAUGUAUGUCACAGCUGAUGAGGAACUGAUGGGCAAGAGUAUUGCUCAAGGCUACUGAUCUCUCUCUUUAGCUGUGUGUACAUUUAAGACAUGGAUUGUUAGUUGACACUUGUGAUAGACACCAAGAUUAGUAUAUAUUUCAUUAAAUGAAAUUUAAAAGUUCUGAAAUAUAUUGAUGUUAAUUUGGGUCCUGCUUCACAUCAGGAGGAGAAAACCAGGAAGUGCUGAAAAAAUGGAGUUUCAAAAAGCUUUCAGAUAGUUUCUUUCAUAUCUUACUUGAACUUUCUCACAAAUCAAGAGUGAGAAUUACUGUGUAGAACAUUUCUCUGAGAGCCUUCAUCUUCAUCAUACUUAAAGAAAAAACCCAAACUAUUAAGUAUGGAUAUGCUCCAGCCACCUUAUCAUCCUCGUGGACCUCCUCUGGACUUGCUCCAGCAGCUCCUUUUUAUGUUGAGGACACCAGAACUGUACACAAUACUCCAAGAGAGGUCUCAUGAAAGCAGAGUAGAGGGGCAGGAUCACCUCCUUCGAGCUGCUGGUCACACUGCUUUCGGUGCAGCCCAGGAAACAGUUGGCUUACUAGGCUGCGAGCGUACACUGCUGGCUCAUAGUAUCUGAAGGGGGCCUACAAGGAUGCCAGAGAGGAACUCUUCAUUGGGGACUGUAAGUGAUAGGACAAGGGGUAAUGGGUUCAAACUUAAACAGGGGAAGUUCAGGUUAGAUAUAAGGAAGAAGUUCUUUACUGUGAGGGCGGUGAGGCACUGGAACGGGUUGACCCAAAGUAGUGGUAAAUGCUCCAUCCCUGGCAGUGUUCAAGGCCAGGUUGGAUUGAGUCUUCGGUAACAUGGUUUAGUGCGAGGUGUCGCUGCCCAUGGCAGGGGGGUUGGAACUGAUGAUCUUAAGGUCCUUUCCAGUCCUAACUAUUCUAUGAUUCUAUGAUAUAAUGACUGCUUUGUUAGGGAACAAUGUGCUUUACAGUUUUGAACAAAAACUUUUAUCUAGUAUCAGGAAAUUUUGCUUCUUGUAUCAGGAAGACACUUCUCUUGUAGGUCUGUUUGCCCAUAUGCAGAUGCUACAUAAGCAUUUAGGAAAAUUGCAUUUGUUUAGCGUCAUUGGUAAUCACAGGAGUUUAAAUUGUUUUCUAAGGU
rnacentral:lncRNA from 1 species